rnacentral:lncRNA from 1 species
ACCAAUCUUAUAAUGAGAUAUGAGAUCUAAUCUCAACCACUCAUUUAAAUACAUUGUAUUCAUCUUUCACCAUUCAUUUAAUAUUUUAAUAUUUCAUCAUCUUCAAAUUCAACUACCUAUCACCUUCAACCACCGCUGACCAGCGCCACCACUUCCGGCGACCACCACCACCUCCGGCGACCACCAGAAAAUCACCACCGGGAACAUAAAAUCACCGCCAGAAAAUAAAAAAUCAACGGCAGAAUAUUAAAAUCACCUCCGUAAAAACAAAAAUCACUACCUGAAAAUGAGAAAUCAACACCAGAAAACAAAAACCACCACCGUAAAAACAAAAAUCAUCACACCACCACCAUCUACAAACAACCACCACCACCUUUAUAUCGAAAAAGCCACCAACUACAAAACAAAAUCACUAUCGUAGAAACAAAAAUCACCACAAAAAAAUGAAAAGUCAACACCAAUAAAUAAGAGAUUAACACCAGAAAAAUAAAAUCACCAUCGUAAAAACAAAAAUCACUACAUAAACAACACCACCGCCACUCAUCACACCACCACGGUCAACAUCUCCAACGAACACAGCAGCGUCGCGGCGGCGAACGAAGGUAGGAGGUAGCAGAUCCACGCUUUUUGUCAUCGUUGGGACAAAACGCAGCGAUGAAGUUAAUGCCACCGCCAGAGUCGCCGGAUGAGUGUUUGCGUAUAAGCCUGUGCGUGCCAACGCUAGAGUCGCCGGAGUGUGUUUAGACAACAGAUCUUGUGUUAUGGUGGAGAAAGAGAAGCAGAUGAGGUUGGCGUCGGGGAGAUAAAGGAGAACGGAAAGAGUUGGGCUGCG